rnacentral:lncRNA from 1 species
AGUGAAUCUUGCUUUCAUUUUUGUUUUUUUCUUAAAGCACACUCUGACUCUUAUGAACUCUUAUGGAUUGAAGCCUGGCAGGAGAGACAAGGGUGGCAUUUAGGAGGUCUUUGUCAUGGUCCAAGAUAGGAUGAUAGCAAGUCUGGAAUAUGGAGGAAGUCACAGAGAUGAACGAAGGCUGGAACUGCUGCACAGAAGAAGCUAGAAGAUCAUGGAGGAGAGCCUUCAAAAUUCUGAAUGAAAUGAUUCCUAACUUAGAGAGCUGUUCUCUGCCAAAGAAUGUACUUCCUUUAAACAAGGG